rnacentral:rRNA from 1 species
UACGUAGGGUGCAAGCGUUAAUCGGAAUUACUGGGCGUAAAGCGUGCGCAGGCGGUGAUGUAAGACAGUUGUGAAAUCCCCGGGCUCAACCUGGGAACUGCAUCUGUGACUGCAUCGCUGGAGUGCGGCAGAGGGGGAUGGAAUUCCGCGUGUAGCAGUGAAAUGCGUAGAUAUGCGGAGGAACACCGAUGGCGAAGGCAAUCCCCUGGGCCUGCACUGGACGCUCAUGCACGAAAGCGUGGG